GAUAGUGUGGCCGAGUGGUCUAUGGCGCCGGUUUUAGGCACCAGUCUCUUCGGAGGCAAGGGUUCGAAUCCCUUCACUGUCA
rnacentral:tRNA from 1 species